rnacentral:rRNA from 1 species
GAUGAACGCUAGCUACAGGCUUAACACAUGCAAGUCGAGGGGCAGCACAGUGUAGCAAUACACGGGUGGCGACCGGCGCACGGGUGCGUAACGCGUAUCCAAUCUACCCGUCACUCAGGGAUAGCCUUCCGAAAGAAAGAUUAAUACCUGAUGGCAUGCGCAUGCCGCAUGGUGUGUGCAUUAAAGGACUCCGGUGACGGAUGAGGAUGCGACCGAUUAGGUAGUAGGCGGGGCAACGGCCCACCUAGCCGACGAUCGGUAGGGGUUCUGAGAGGAAGGUCCCCCACAUUGGAACUGAGACACGGUCCAAACUCCUACGGGAGGCAGCAGUGAGGAAUAUUGGUCAAUGGGCGCGAGCCUGAACCAGCCAAGUAGCGUGCGGGAAGACGGCCCUAUGGGUUGUAAACUGCUUUAGCCGGGAAUAAAGUGGGCCACGUGUGGCCUAUUGCAUGUACCCGGAGAAUAAGCAUCGGCUAAUUCCGUGCCAGCAGCCG